GUGUGGAGUCAUAUGGAGGUCAGACCAGGAAGCCAAAUAUUGGUAAGAUGAAGUGGAAGCUCAUCCUGAUAAUCAUUAGGUGUGUCACUAACCACAGUUACUGCCAACAGAAGGAGCAUUGUCCGAAAAUGGAUAAAAGAAGACAUAAGAAUGAUGGACACAGAUAGCUCCUGUCUACAAAACCCUCGGACAAAUUAACUCAGAACCAUGAGGAUUUUAUGCAAGGGAACAUGACAUGGAAGAUUGGUAGAAUACAUAGAAGUGAAGGAAGAUUGAGACAUCGAAGACUUGAACAGCAACGUGUGAUCAACCAUCACAAAGAGAAGAGUCUAACUUUGAAACUCAGAGAAAAAUUGAUUUGUCUGAAUGAAUGUGGUCAGCUCACUGGGUAUAGGUCGUAUUGAGAUAAAUGAGUUCACUAUGUGCUUACUAAGGACUAAACAGUUACUAAUAAAGAGGAAUUUUGUUAGAUUCUAAUUUGGCUGUAUGCCCUUUAUGUCAUGA